GGAGACUGUAGCUCAAAUGGAAGAGUGCCCCGCUUCAACGGGGAGGAUGGAGGUUCGAUUCCUCCCAGUCUCCA
rnacentral:tRNA from 1 species